GAUCAUGGCUCAGGACGAACGCUGGCGGCGUGCUUAACACAUGCAAGUCGAACGGAGCACACUUGAUUGAGGUUUCGGCCAAAUGAUAGGAAUGCUUAGUGGCGGACUGGUGAGUAACGCGUGAGGAACCUGCCUCUCAGAGGGGGACAACAGUUGGAAACGACUGCUAAUACUGCAUGACGCAUCGGAAGGGCAUCCUUCUGAUGUCAAAGAUUUUAUCG
rnacentral:rRNA from 1 species